AGCUGCGGCUCCCAAAUCUCCCAGGCAGAGAUCGCACUCAAAGAUAUCCCACUCAAUCGCCACAGCAAUCCCCACGGGAACAGGUGCCAGCAGCAAAUCCGGAGCUUGAUGGGAUGCCUUUCUACAGUCUCGCCACCAUCGCUCCUGGCCUUCUCCACCACUGCUUGAGGGAAAGGGCAUAGCCCUAGAGGAGAGCGAGUAAAUGGCCAGCGAAGCUGUGGCUCCCUGUCCCCGCGGGAACAGGCGCCAGCAGCAGAUUCAGAGCCGCGGGCUCUAGAUCCACUCCC
rnacentral:lncRNA from 1 species